rnacentral:lncRNA from 1 species
UAUAUAUAUAUUUUUUUUUUUUAAGUUCACGGGGAGGAAAGAAAAAAAAAAUAAGGAUGAUCUCACUUUUACGGUAAGAUCAAAAAAUCUCCGCUCGCCCCCAUUCUUCGAGAUUUGGGAUAAUUCCAAAUACCUUACUAAGUGCAGAUGUUGUUGCGUCUUCACAUCCUAUAAAGCCGACUUGACGUUCUUUUGCUCUCGCUUUCCUUUUCAAGUCGCAGGAAAUUCAGACACUUUACAUGAAGGGUGGAGAAGUGGUGGGAUUUGCUAACUUAACGGGUUUUUUUUAAUUAUUAUUAUUGUUAGUUGAUUUUUUUUUAAAGCUGAUCUUUAGGAUGAAAAAAAAAUCGCAGUCGCCUAAAGUCCCCGGGAAAUUGCUACUGUUGGGGGAAAACGAAACAUUUCUUGCAAACGAGAAAAUGUUAUACUCGGCCACAUAUAUGCAUGUAUUUAUGAAUUUAGUGACAUGUAUAUUUUAACAAAGAAGAUGCCCUAGCACAGCUUUCACUCAUGCAUAAAUGCACACACGUUUGGAAGAUGCCAGCAGAUUGCAACCUCAGGAGCUAAACGAUUUCACUACAAGAAACAUUUGUGAGAGAAAGCACAACACCGACUAUAUAGGAAGUGCUGAUGCCCAGCCACUUGUUCGUUGCAGGACGGGAGCGGGAGCAGCGCGGCGGCGCGACCUGCGGAGGGACCCGGCGGGGAAGGCGGCGGCGGCACAUGCCCGCUCCCCUGUGCGCAGGAGAAGCACAUACGCUCCCUCCCAACAGCUUCGUCCACAGUAUCGAAAGGCAAAAAGUGCGCAGAAACUACUUGAGUUUCUCCGGGCUAAGCACAAAGAGGAAACUAUUUUCAUUGAUAGUCCAAUAGAUGAGUAGGUAUCUGACAAGUUUGCUUAAGAAGAAAACAGUCCACAAGCAAAAAACGCCGCCUCACUUUUGCAAAAUCCAAAGUACUGUCAAUAAGCAUUACAAGAGCAGUAAUAAUCUGAGAGGAGAACAAAGACAUUCUCUAAUAUCUACAUAACUUUAUUAGAGCAAAAUUAUUUUAAAAUGCCUGUGAAUUCCCAAACCUCCUGAACACAAAUGAAUAAAAGUUUUUCUUCGGGCUAAAA